GACAUUGCAUUUGCACCAUAUGGAGAGUACUGGAGACAGAUGAGGAAAAUUUGCAUGCUGGAGUUGCUAAGUGCUAAGCGUGUGCAAUCAUUCAGAUCAAUAAGGGAAGAAGAGGUAUCAAAUCUAAUGAGUAGUAUUUCUUUUAAUGGAGGAUCCCUGGUGAACCUUAGCAAGAAGUUGUUUGCUUUCACGUACAGUGUGAUUUCAAGGGCAGCCUUUGGUAGGGUAAGGGAAGAGCAAGAAGCAUUUGUAGCUCUUGUUAAAGAAAUAAUGGAAGUGGGAGCAGGUUUUAGUAUUUCCGAUUUGUUCCCUUCCAUUAAAGUGCUUCAAAUGGUUAGUGGGAUGGGAGCUAAAAUGGAAAGGUUGCAUCAGGAAGCAGACAGGAUACUCGAAAAUAUAAUCAGUGAUCAUAGAUCCAGAAAAGCAGCGGUUAGGAUUGCCGAUGAGGGUGUUGAUCUUGUAGAUGUUUUUUUGAACCUUCAGGAUCAAGAAAACCUUGAGUUCUCUUUAUCAAUUGACAACAUCAAGUCAGUCAUCCUGGACAUAUUCAUUGCUGGGAGUGAGACUUCAUCUACAACUGCAGAAUGGGCGAUGUCAGAGAUGCUAAGAAACCCAACAGUGAUGGAAAAGGCACAAGCAGAGGUGAGGCAAGUUUUCAGUGGAAAAGGCCAUGUAGACGAAGAAGGUCUUGGAGAAUUAAAUUACUUAAAAUUGGUUAUCAAA
rnacentral:misc_RNA from 1 species